rnacentral:misc_RNA from 1 species
GUGAAUCAUCAAAUUUUUGAACGCAAAUUGCACUCUCUUCGGAUAGUAUGCCUGUUUGAGGUUAAUUAAAAAGAAUCUUUAACCAAUUUUUUUUGGUCAUUGUAAAUGAGCUCUCCGCGUUUGUAGCGGUAGCUUUAAAUAAAUGAUCAAGUCUCAUUUUAGUCGAGACGCGUAAUAAUAUUACUUCGCUAAAUCUUCAUUAUGUGACUAUCAAGUUUUGAUGCAUACAAAUUUUCUUUGUAUGCGAUCAAUACAAGUCUUUUGAACAUUACCUCAAAUCAGUUAGGAGUACCCGCUUAA